UACAGAGGUCUCAAGCGUUGUUCGGAUUCAUUGGGCGUAAAGGGUGCGUAGGCGGCGCGGUAAGUCGGGUGUGAAAUCUCGGAGCUUAACUCCGAAACUGCAUUCGAUACUGCCGUGCUUGAGGACUAGAGAGGAGACUGGAAUUUACGGUGUAGCGGUGAAAUGCGUAGAUAUCGUAAGGAAGACCAGUGGCGAAGGCGGGUCUCUGGACAGUUCCUGACGCUGAGGCACGAAGGCCAGGGGAGCAAACGGGG
rnacentral:rRNA from 1 species